GAUCAUACCAGCACUAAUGCACCGGAUCCCAUCAGAACUCCGAAGUUAAGCGUGCUUGGGCGAGAGUAGUACUAGGAUGGGUGACCCCCUGGGAAGUCCUCGUGUUGCAUCCC
rnacentral:rRNA from 1 species